UCUAAGAUGGCAGAUUAGUGCAUAUGAUUUAGGAUCAUAAAAUAUAUAUUUUAUAUUCUUAGAA
rnacentral:tRNA from 1 species